GGGGCUUCAGCCCUUUAAGCCCCUGCAUUAAUCAGGCCCUGCUCCCGAAUUAUAAAGGCGCGCCAUGCCAGCGCACUAUCAUCUCCAGAGUUCUGUCCGAACCCGCAAGACGCAACCGAGACUACACUGAUAAUUAUUAACACCAAACUGGACUGCAACAGGUGUGCUGACUAAACUAUUCCUCAGUGAGGGGAGAUUCUGCCUUUGCCUGAGAACAGUGGAGUUUUUCUUCAGUUGAUCUUUUCUGGCCUGUUCUAACCUGUACCCGAGGGUUGUGACUCCCGCUUGCCGCAAUGCCCUCACUGUACCCGGCAUGGCUCUGCUGCCUUAGCCUGCUAACCGUGGAGACACACACCCUGGCCCUGUCGCGGCCAGCCCGGACACAGCCUCACAGGUUUAUGUUAUCCAGAACCUCCUGGACACCUAGGUCGUCUUCGUCUCUCACUAUGGCGACGGUUGUCACCCCGACUGUUGCCCUGGACAACAGUGUUGCCCUGGAAACAGAUGGGCCGUCUGGAGGGCCCUGCUCCCUAAAGGACCCCCGAGGCAGUCUAACCUAAUGCCUGACCAUGAAGGUCCACUGGCCAAGCCAUCCAGUCCAUUGCCUGACCAAAACGACAACCUCUCUAGAGUGGGGACGUCACGGGGUCGCCGUCAUGCCAACGGUAGCAGUGGGCGUGGCCAUGGUCAGCUGAUGAGGGUGGGGUGUGUCCUGGGAACCUGUCAAGUUCAGAACCUCAGUCACCGACUCUACCAGCUGAUUGGACAGAGUGGGAGGCAAGACUCCUCCCCCAUCAAUCCCCGUAGCCCGCACAGCUACGGCUGAAUAACUUUAUCAGCAACCAACAAACAGGCACAGUCACUGUUGAAUAACAUUAUCGUCAACCAAUAUACAGACACAGCUA